rnacentral:rRNA from 1 species
UACGUAGGGUGCAAGCGUUGUCCGGAAUUAUUGGGCGUAAAGAGCUCGUAGGCGGUUUGUCGCGUCUGCUGUGAAAACUCGGGGCUUAACUCCGGGCUUGCAGUGGGUACGGGCAGACUAGAGUGCGGUAGGGGAGACUGGAAUUCCUGGUGUAGCGGUGAAAUGCGUAGAUAUCUGGAGGAAUACCGGUGGCGAAGGCGGCAUCCUGGACCGACAUUGACGCUGAGGAGCGAAAGCUAGGGGAGCAAACGGG